UUUCUUCAUAUUCUUCCCAAAAUGGAAGACAUGCCCAUCACUGACAAAAAUCAUUCUUAACCCAAUUCAAAAUCGAAAUCGAAAUUGAAACCAAUUCAAAAUCUUGAGUUCCUCAUCUCAAAAUCGAAAUCCAUUUGAAAUCCAAUUCUUCCAUUCAAAAUCGAAAUCAUGUUCUUCCAUGCGGUUUAAAAUCGAAAUGCAAUUCCGCUUUGAACCCGUUCGUAUCAUUCACUCCUCCCUUGUUCUAUCAUUACCAAAAGCAAUUUCUUAAUCGCUUUUUCUAUCAUAACCAAAAGCACUUACCCAUCAUCACCACUACAACGAAAUUUCGAUUUCCUUUCAAAUUCUCGCGUGUUACACUUCCCAAGGUUCUAUCAAUGGCAACAUCUUCUCAUUCCAAUCAACAUAAGUUUACCAAUCGACUUGCCUCAGAACAAAGCCCUUAUCUUCUUCAACACGCUCAUAAUCCUGUUGAUUGGUAUCCAUAGGGUGAAGAAGCUUUCGCCAAAGCUCGCCGCAGAGAUUCUCUUUUCGUUGUAGUGGUGAUGAUGGGGUCGAACUGAUUCAUGUUUCAGUUUGUUACUCAUUCAUUCAUGUCCAUGACUCGCCUUCCAGUUCUAUUAUCGCGUGUUGAUGUUGGCUGCUCGCAACUGCUCUCAGAUAUGCAGGCUUUCAAGGUCAGGCUCUUGAUAUGGAAAGUGCUCCUGGUUUCUAAAAAUGAAGUUAUACUUGUUUGAAGAGGGUGUUGUCAGAGGGAUAACUGUCAUGGAUCUUCUAAUAAUAAGUCUGACCUCAUUCUAUCUGCAAACAGUUGCUCAAAGACCAACAUGUUUGUUUGGUCCUUGCUAUCUUGUUUUUCAAUGUAUUUUCAGCUAUCCUUGGUCUCCUUAUUAGCCCCCCCCGCGUUCUAUAAGCUUUUAUUUACCCGAGACACGGGUCAUUCUGUGAGAUAAAAUGUUGAUGUUGUUUCCUUAA